UGCUGGAGAGCUCAGUCAGUAGAGCAUGAGACUCUUAAUCUCAGGGUCGUGAGUUCGAGCCCCACAUUGAGCAA